rnacentral:rRNA from 15 species
GGACAGUGCCUGAUGGGUAGUUUGACUGGGGCGGUCGCCUCCUAAAAGGUAACGGAGGCGCUCAAAGGUUCCCUCAGAAUGGUUGGAAAUCAUUCAUAGAGUGUAAAGGCAUAAGGGAGCUUGACUGCGAGACCUACAAGUCGAGCAGGGUCGAAAGACGGACUUAGUGAUCCGGUGGUUCCGCAUGGAAGGGCCAUCGCUCAAAGGAUAAAAGGUACGCCGGG